CUUUGGUAAGGCCUCACUCUCAGCUUCAGCUCUCCAUCAACCAUAUGGGUGCAAUACCAUAUGCAAUACCAGGUCUUACAGGGCUGGUACAAGGAUCACCAAGACAAGGCUUUUUAAAGAUACUUGGGACACUUUAAAGCAGGGGUGGGGAGACAUCAGGCUUGGGGAUCCACUUUGCUUGUUACUAGAAGACCAAGAUCCACCAACCAGAACCUGAUGCAAAAGAUGCACAAUGAAGAGAAUUCUGAGCUCAGGAAUUUACUGUAUGUUCCAGAACAGGAUGGAGCUCACAGUCUAUACUGCCUGCUAUCUACACUGCGGAUGGCAGUGACAGGGUUCUCUGCCAGCCCUAGCCAGAGAUGCUAUUCGAGACUGAAUCUGAACCUUUGGCAUGCAAAAGAGAUCCUCUACCAUUGAGCUCCAGCCCCUGCCCAAGCUAUUUUCAUAUCAAAGCUGCUUGCCUCAAAAGGUUUUCAUUUCAGCAGUAUAAUUUAGGACAGAAUUCCCUGCACAAAAAUAUCCUGGCAGAUGAAGAAGGAGAAGUUUAGCCUAACCUGCUGUCACCCAGCCCAGGCUUUCUGGCCUGGGGAAGGAUUCAGACUUGCUAUCAUUUCUUAGCAGUCUCUGGUGGUCCAGUUUAGGAAGAAGCACAAAAUGUGAUACUGUAGGGAGCGUGACCUGGCAUCAAGGCAAACAAAACCCAGGGAAGAGGUCUGUCCUAGCAACUGCUUUCCUAUCAUUAAAAACAGCCAAACUCA